rnacentral:rRNA from 1 species
AACGAACGCUGGCGGCAUGCCUAACACAUGCAAGUCGAACGAGACCUUCGGGUCUAGUGGCGCACGGGUGCGUAACGCGUCGGAACCUGCCCUUAGGUUCGGAAUAACUCCCCGAAAGGGGUGCUAAUACCGGAUAAUGUCUUCGGACCACAGAUUUAUCGCCUUUGGAUGGGCCCGCGUUGGAUUAGCUUGUUGCUAGGGUAAAAGCCUACCAAGGCGACGAUCCAUAACUGGUCUGAGAGGAUGAUCAGCCACACUGGGACUGAGACACGGCCCAGACUACUACGGGAGGCAGGAGUGGGGAAUAUAGGACAAUGGGCGAAAGCCUGAACCAGCAAUGCCGCGUGAGUGAUGAAGGCCUUAGGGUUGUAAAGCUCUUUUACCCGGGAUGAUAAUGACAGUACCGGGAGAAUAAGCACCGGCUAACUCCGUG